rnacentral:sRNA from 1 species
ACGAUAGACUGCUAGGAUCGGGACUCCCCGAAAAAGGGGGUGAUGCCUUUGACAAUCUUUGAAACUUUUAUGGCUAUGUUUUCGUUUGCAACUCUCAUAAUUGCAAUUUUGUCUUUUCACAAUAAAAAAUAGGCCAUCCUAAAAUGCACAAGGAGAGGCCUGUUUGCUGAUAGAAGCCCGGUCCGACAGGAAAGUCUAUCGCGGGACCGCAAAUGCUGGCACAUUUGCG